rnacentral:rRNA from 1 species
AUAUCAGUCAUGCAUAGCAUAUCAAUAAGCGGAGGAAAAGGAACUAACAAGGAUUCCCCUAGUAACGGCGAGUGAAGCGGGAAGAGCUCAAAUUUGAAAUCUUAAAGGGUUUCCCUUUACGAAUUGUAGUUUAAAGAAGUGUUUUCUGUUGGAGUUUCGGUAAAAGUUCUUUGGAAUAGGACAUCAUAGAGGGUGAGAAUCCCGUAUUUGACCGUUACUUUCCAGCUGUGUGAUACACUUUCAAAGAGUCGGAUUGUUUGGGAAUGCAGUCCAAAAUGGGUGGUAAAUUUCAUCUAAAGCUAAAUAUUGGCGAGAGACCGAUAGCGAACAAGUACCGUGAGGGAAAGAUGAAAAGAACUUUGAAAAGAGAGUUAAACAGUACGUGAAAUUGUCAAAAGGGAAGCGUUUGACACCAGUGUUGUUUUUCCGAAAAUCAAUUACGAAUGUUUUGUUUUUAAGAAGUUAUGACUUCAUCGGCUUGCUUCUUUCUUUACGAAACUUUUUUAAUGCACUUUUCGUUUAACAAGUCAACAUCAAUUUCUUUUGUUGUAAAAGGGUAAGAGGAAGGUGGCUUACGCUUCGGCGUAAGUGUUUAUAGCCUUUUACCUCUGCAAUCGGAGAGAUUGAGGACAGCAGCGUAGACUCUUCGGGGUUAGAUACACUUGUGCUAAGCUAUAGCCUUGUAUAGACAACUUGUUGACUAUGCUCAGUCAUGUAGCUUACUCGCUUGUGCUAUUUUACCUACGCUUAGGAUGUUGAUCUCUCACAGUCGAGC